GGAAAAGAAACUAACAAGGAUUCCCCUAGUAACUGCGAGUGAAGCGGGAAAAGCUCAAAUUUAAAAUCUGUCAGUCUUUGGCUGUCCGAGUUGUAAUCUAGAGAAGUGUUAUCCGCGCUGGACCGUGUACAAGUCUCCUGGAAUGGAGCGUCAUAGAGGGUGAGAAUCCCGUCUUUGACACGGACUGCCAGGGCUUUGUGAUACGCUCUCAAAGAGUCGAGUUGUUUGGGAAUGCAGCUCAAAAUGGGUGGUAAAUUCCAUCUAAAGCUAAAUAUUGGCGAGAGACCGAUAGCGAACAAGUACCGUGAGGGAAAGAUGAAAAGAACUUUGGAAAGAGAGUUAAACAGUACGUGAAAUUGCUGAAAGGGAAACGCUUGAAGUCAGUCGCGUUGUCCAGGGAUCAGCCUUGCUUUUGCUUGGUGUACUUUCUGGUUGACGGGUCAGCAUCAAUUUUGACUGUUGGAAAAAGGUCGGGGGAAUGUGGCAUCUUCGGAUGUGUUAUAGCCCUUGGUUGCAUACAAUGGUUGGGAUUGAGGAACUCAGCACGCCGCAAGGCCGGGUAACUAUUACCACGUACGUGCUUAGGAUGCUGGCAUAAUGGCUUUAAUCGACCCGUCUUGAAACACGGACCAAGGAGUCUAACAUGCCUGCGAGUGUUUGGGUGGAAAACUCGAGCGCGUAAUGAAAGUGAAAGUUGAGAUCCCUGUCGUGGGGAGCAUCGACGCCCGGACCAGACCUUUUGUGACGGUUCCGCGGUAGAGCAUGUAUGUUGGGACCCGAAAGAUGGUGAACUAUGCCUGAAUAGGGUGAAGCCAGAGGAAACUCUGGUGGAGGCUCGUAGCGAUUCUGACGUGCAAAUCGAUCGUCAAAUUUGGGUAUAGGGGCGAAAGACUAAUCGAACCAUCUAGUAGCUGGUUCC
rnacentral:rRNA from 1 species